rnacentral:lncRNA from 11 species
GCGAUGGUAUCUCCCUCCAGAGAGAUUAGUUAGCAGUCCCAUUAAAUGAAAGCCAGAUUGAAGACUGGGCUUCAGGAGCAUUUUAUGCAAAGAUCAUUGAAAAGGCCUGGGGUCUAGACUGUUGGGCUGCCCUCCCUAUACAGGCUGAACCACUAUUUUUCUGCUCCGGCUGGCUAUAUUCAUAAUUUGAAAGGCAUGCAGUGUGGAGGAACUUGCCAGUGAUGGAACUUAGCUCAUCAGCAGAUCUGUCUUUUGUCCAGCCAAUCUUCAGCCGUCAUUUCCCCACCAAACGGAAUCCCCGCCUGGAGGUGGAACACCAGCAGAGCUUCCAGCCAACCCCAGCACAGAUCCUAGACUGCCUUUUUUUCAGCCAUUCAGGGGAGGGAGCGGGAGGUUCGAAUCACU